GGAGGAAGAGGAGGGUUAAAAGGCUCUCUGAUGCCAGUUCUGCUGCAGAGUGGAACCCACCAGCACCUGUUCUCCUCCUCCGUUUUGCUGCCGUGAAGCGACGUAAAGCUGGAGCCGGCGGUGCACUGCCCCCCGCCGCCGCCGCCGGAGCAGCAGCAGCCUGAACCGGAGCAGCAGCUCCAGUGGAGCGGCGCGGAGCGGCAACCUCCGCCUUGGACCGACGAACUGGCUGAGAUGUCCCGACACAUCUACACCCGACACGGGAUGGCAGACGGACUGCAGAAGCCUGUGUUCCAGGGCAACAGAGGAACCUACUCCAGGCGCAGCCGCCUGAAGAGGUCCGAUGGCAGCACCACAUCCACGAGCUUCAUCCUCAGACAGGGCUCAGCUGAUUCCUACACAAGCCGACCGUCUGACUCAGAUGUGUCCCUGGAGGAGGAGAAGGAGGGCGGCCGACAGGAGAGGGAGCAGCAGGCCACUGUCCAGCUUGAGAGGGCAAAGAGUAAAGCAGUGGCAUUUGCCGUGAGGACCAAUGUCAGCUACUGCGGAGCGCUGGAAGAGGACGUUCCUGUCCCCGGCACCGCCGUCUCUUUUGACGCCAAGGACUUCCUCCACAUCAAAGAGAAGUACAACAACGACUGGUGGAUCGGCCGCCUGGUGAAAGAAGGCUGCGACAUCGGCUUCAUUCCCAGCCCGCUGAAGCUGGAAAACGUCCGGCUGCAGCAGGAGCAGAAGAGAGGACGCUUCCACAGCAGCAAAUCCAGUGCAAAUUCCUCCUCCAGUCUGGGAGAAAUGGUGUCAGGCACGUUCAAACCAAACCCAAACUCAGCAGGAAAGCAAAAACAAAAAGUGGCUGAGCACGUCCCCCCGUAUGACGUGGUUCCGUCCAUGAGGCCGGUGGUCCUGGUAGGUCCAUCCCUGAAAGGCUACGAGGUGACGGAUAUGAUGCAGAAAGCGCUGUUUGACUUCCUGAAGCACAGGUUCGAUGGAAGGAUAUCCAUCACGAGGGUCACCGCUGAUAUAUCGUUGGCCAAGAGGUCAGUACUUAACAACCCCAGUAAACGGGCCAUCAUUGAGAGGUCCAACACCCGCUCCAGCCUCGCUGAGGUCCAGUGUGAAAUAGAAAGGAUCUUUGAGUUGGCCAGAUCUCUACAGCUAGUGGUGUUGGAUGCAGACACAAUAAAUCACCCAGCACAGCUUAUCAAGACCUCAUUAGCUCCCAUUAUUGUCCAUGUUAAGGUGUCAUCUCCUAAGGUCUUGCAGCGUCUGAUCAAAUCGCGAGGGAAGUCCCAAAGCAAACACUUGAACGUGCAGCUUGUUGCAGCAGAAAAACUAGCCCAGUGUCCGUCUGAGAUGUUUGACAUUAUUUUGGACGAGAACCAGCUUGAAGAUGCCUGCGAACACCUGGCAGAAUACCUGGAAGCGUACUGGCGCGCUACCCACACUUCACUUAGCACGCCGCUCAACCCCCUGCUGGGACGCAAUCUGGGCUCCACUGCUCUCUCCCCGUAUCCGGCUGCCAUCCAGGCCCAAAAGAAUCGAAACAGCAACCACACGACUACUGACCAUUCCCCCGUCGAGCGCCGCAAUCUGAUGCCCGCGGACGAGAACUAUCACAACGAGCGGGCCCGGAAGAAUCGCAACCGCCUGUCCUCGGGCUCACAGCACAGCAGGGACCACUCUCCGCUGAUGGAGGAGGACUACCAAGACCCCUACCAGGACUCUUACAAGCCUCACCGCAAUCGCGGAUCCCCCGGAGGCUUCAGCCAGGACUGCGCCAGGCACAGGCUGUGAGCCGAUACUCGUCUGCGCCGAACACAAUCGCUGAGGCGGCGUCGUGAUGAAUCUACUUAAGUCAUGUGAACUAGAACGAUCUCUUAUGUCUGUGUAGUACCUCAUAUCCCGUUUUGACCUUGGACAUUUAUAACCUAAUAUUUAAAAAAAGAAAAACUGUCCUUGCUAUGAUGUGAAUAUGAGGGUGGACAUGUAGCACAAGAACUAUGUUUUAAACAAAGGGUGGAAGUUUAGCUUGUUUUAAUGUGUCACACAAGUAGCUUGUAAGUUAAAUCAACUAGCAAGUGAAAGUGUGGGGUCUUCUACACUUUCCCUGCCAUCUCAGCUGUCCCUGUAGCAUGUAGCGUUUUGUUAUCUUACCCGUCUGGAUAAUUUGGGGUGUAUUAUUUAAUAUACAGUGCCUUUCAAGAGUAUUCACAGCUGAAAUUUUAAUUGGGAUGAAACAUGGUGGUGGCGGCAUAUACCUGUGGUGAUACAGUAUUGGGGGGAUAAAGAACUAUUGGAGUAUGCAGAAAGUAUGUUAGGUGUCUAGGGUUAAAAUGGUCCUGUCAAAGUCUACGUGUUUCAAUAGGCCAAAAUGUCAUCCUCCUGAUCUGGUACAUUCACCUUAAAAAUUUUAAGCUGCAAUCAAAACAAAAUGUAAACGCAUGUAUCAUUCUCCUUUCAUUUCAAAUGAUCUGGUACUUUAUGUUGGGGUUCCACAUAGCACCUACAUGUAAUACAUUAAAGAGUGAGGUGGUAUCAUGAAUGCUUUAGUAAGGCACUGUAGCUGUAGUGCUAAAUGCUAUAAUGUGCAUUUAGUUUAGUUUAGUAAGGCAUGGUUAUGAAAAUACAAGAGUGGAUUUUAGUUUGUGACAUACGGAGAGCUUUCAUGUGUAAAUGUUGUCAAAAAUGACAGAAGAGAAACUUAAAAUUCAACUUUUGGUAAAUCUGAUUACAUUCCAUUGGUUUAAUUCAAGGUACUGCAUAUAACUCAGAUCAAGAUUUCUUUUUUAAAGGUUUUAUAAUCACUGUAAAAUGUUCAGAAGCUGAUCCUGGCCGUCUUCUUUGUUUUCAGGUGUAACUUUUUACAUUAUUUUAACUUCAGUUAGAAAAUAGAAUGAAAAUAGAAAACUACAGAAUAAAGGAAGGACUUUUCUAUACCCAUUGGAGCUCUUGCUAGCCAAUACUAACAGUUACAUGUAACUGUCUUUAGCCGAACAGGAAAAAAAAAUUUCUGCAGGGCAUUUGAUAGAGGUGGUAGACCUGAAUUCAAUAAAAUAUGAACUGCCCGCUAGUCUUUAUCUGAUUUUUACCAAACAAAAAGCAAACUAAAAGAACAUGCUAUUUGUUGAUGUGUUUACAAUCUGAAAAAUUACUUUUUUAAAAUUUUUAUGUGCCAUAGGAAUGAAGAAAAAUUUGUUUUUCAGUAUCUGAUCUCCUUAAAGCAAGCAAAAAUCCAGGAAUUUGUUCUUGUAUCUUGAAUAAAAUACAUUCAACCAUUUA